UUAUUAUUAUUAUUAUUAUUUAAUGCGAUUUCCUGCUUCCUGCUGUUGGAAACAGUCCCUGUUUAAAGCUUUUUGGCUGACACUAUCUGUUCUUUUGGUAUAAGCAUUUUGGAUGCUUACAAGUGGUAUGCUUUGCACAAUAUAGAGCAAGGACAAAGUCUGAAGUCAAAGGUAAAAGUUAAUGCCAGAGAUCCUUUUGAACUAAUAUUCUGAAAAGGCAAUUUGUUCAUUGAUCUUCCAAAUGCAUCAUUCUGUUUAACAGAAAAAAAGGCUUACUUUUAACAGCUUCAGAAAACCUAAUCAGUCCC